GCCAGUUUGGCUCAGUGGAUAGAGCAUCAGCCUGAGUACUGAAGGGUCCCAAGUUCAAUUCUGGGCAAGGGCA
rfam:Myotis lucifugus cont2.981, whole genome shotgun sequence.